rnacentral:tRNA from 1 species
GGGGUUGUGGCUCAGGGGUAGAGUGUUUGCCUAGCAUGCAUGAGUCACUUGGUUUGAUCCUCAGCACCA